GUUCUAAAGCAGCUACAGCACCAGUACAGCUGAUACUCAAGGUUCAGAUCAGAAGAGGAGGCUUCUCACCCGGCAGCAGGGACCUGUGAGCAUGGCAUGCCCCGGCUUCCUGUGGGCACUUGUGAUCUCCACCUGUCUUGAAUCCGGCAUGGCCCAGACAGUCACUCAGUCUCAACCAGAGAUGUCUGUGCAGGAGGCAGAGACCGUGACCCUGAGCUGCACAUAUGACACCAGUGACAGUGAUUAUUAUUUGUUCUGGUACAAGCAGCCUCCCAGCAGGCAGAUGAUUCUCAUUAUUCGCCAAGAAGCUUAUAAGCAACAGAAUGCAACAGAGAAUCGUUUCUCUGUGAACUUCCAGAAAGCAACCAAAUCCUUCAGUCUCAAGAUCUCAGACUCACAGCUGGGGGACGCCGCGAUGUAUUUCUGUGCUUAUAGGAGCGCACAGUGAAAUAAGCAACAGGGAGAGGCUUACAGAAACCUCAGACCUCAGCAUCUGUGUAAAGGUCAGGGGGAAGUGUUCAGGGUUAUAGGAACACAAAGAGGAAAUCAUUGUCUUCACUAAAGGAAAAAAAAAAUGUAUCUGACUAUAGGAAACACAGAGGGGAUGUCUAUCAGCUGUAAUUUUUGAAAUAGUAAUAAAAUAAUGAAUCCACACAUGCUUUAUAGAUUUUCAAAAUACCUUCACGUG